GAUGAACGCUGGCGGCAGGCUUAAUACAUGCAAGUCGAACGGUAACAGUACUAGCAAUAGUAGCUGACGAGUGGCGCACGGGUGCGUAACGCGUAUGCAACCUACCCAUAAUUGGAACAUAACGUUGAGAAAUUAACGCUAAUAUUUCAUGUGAAUAUGAGAAGGCAUCUUUUUAUAUUUAAAGAUUCAUUGAUUAUGGAUGGGCAUGCGUAUCAUUAGCUAGUUGGUGAGGUAACGGCUCACCAAGGCAACGAUGAUUAGGGGUUCUGAGAGGAUAUCCCCCAACUGGAACUGAGACACGGUCCAGACUCCUACGGGAGCAGCAGUAGGGAAUAUUGGGCAAUGGAAGCAAAUUCUGACCCAGCCAUGCCGCGUGAAGGAAUACAGCCCUAAUGGGUUUUAAACUUCUUUAAUUAUAGAUUAACCGGAGGUACGUGUACCUCCCUGCAAGUAUAUGAUGAAUAAAGGAUCGGCUAACUCCGUGA
rnacentral:rRNA from 1 species